GCUUUUAAUAUAUUAAAUACUUUUGACUUGAAAUCAAAAUGAUUGUCUUUAGUGACAAUAAAAGCU
rnacentral:tRNA from 1 species